rnacentral:rRNA from 1 species
UGGGGAAUAUUGGACAAUGGGCGAAAGCCUGAUCCAGCCAUGCCGCAUGAGUGAAGAAGGCCUUUGGGUUGUAAAGCUCUUUUAGUGAGGAAGAUAAUGACGGUACUCACAGAAGAAGUCCUGGCUAACUCCGUGCCAGCAGCCGCGGUAAUACGGAGAGGGCUAGCGUUAUUCGGAAUUAUUGGGCGUAAAGGGCGCGUAGGCUGGUUAAUAAGUUAAAAGUGAAAUCCCGAGGCUUAACCUUGGAAUUGCUUUUAAAACUAUUAAUCUAGAGAUUGAAAGAGGAUAGAGGAAUUCCUGAUGUAGAGGUAAAAUUCGUAAAUAUUAGGAGGAACACCGGUGGCGAAGGCGGUCAUCUGGGCUACAACUGACGCUGAUGCACGAAAGCGUGGGGAGCAAACA